AGUGAACGCUGGCGGUAGGCCUAACACAUGCAAGUCGAACGGCAGCACAGUAAGAGCUUGCUCUUGCGGGUGGCGAGUGGCGGACGGGUGAGGAAUACAUCGGAAUCUACCUUUUCGUGGGGGAUAACGUAGGGAAACUUACGCUAAUACCGCAUACGACCUACGGGUGAAAGCAGGGGAUCUUCGGACCUUGCGCGAUUGAAUGAGCCGAUGUCGGAUUAGCUAGUUGGCGGGGUAAAGGCCCACCAAGGCGACGAUCCGUAGCUGGUCUGAGAGGAUGAUCAGCCACACUGGAACUGAGACGCGGUCCAGACUCCUACGGGAGGCAGCAGUGGGGAAUAUUGGACAAUGGGCGCAAGCCUGAUCCAGCCAUACCGCGUGGGUGAAGAAGGCCUUCGGGUUGUAAAGCCCUUUUGUUGGGAAAGAAAAGCAGCAGGUUAAUACCCCGCUGUUCUGACGGUACCCAAAGAAUAAGCACCGGCUAACUUCGUG
rnacentral:rRNA from 1 species